GCGCCCAGACCCUGCCAACAGCACGCAGACCCAGCAUCAGGCUGUUUCUCCCUCUGGAUCCCUGCACCCUAGGAGGGUAGGAUCUCUGAGGGCUUGUCUACAUUACCUGCAGGAUCGAUGGGCAGCGAUCAAUCCAGCAGGGGUCGAUUUAUCGCAUGUAGUCUAGACAGGAUAAAUGGACCGCCAAGCGCUCUCCCGUCGAGCGUCUCCACCAAAGCAAGAGGCACAGGCGGAGUCAAAGGGGGAGCGUCAGCCGUCGACUCACCGCAGUGAAGACACCGCGACGUCAAAUGCAAAAUUCACACAAAAUUAGAUUUUCAUAACUUCUGCAACGUCUUCUAAAACGGAAAGCAGCUCCUCUCAGGACUCUUCCAUUGAGCACAUGCGCAAAGAAAGAGGUAAAUGAAGUUGAUGUUAAUGUCUUGAUAUACUGGCAAUGAAGAAGUAGUGCCCCUGCAUCCUAUAUCAUAUAAAGACAAGUGAGAUGGCUGUUUCUGUGAUGCGAAUCUCUCUACUAGGAACAGGACUGAGAUCACAAACAAAUGACUAACUAAAAAUUAUUUACAGCAUUACCUACCUGAACUGAUCAAACUAAUGGAGCAAGAGUCCUACAUACUACCACUUCACAAAAUCGAACACUAAACGUAUUUAUAAUUGGGGUGUAUGUGUGUAUAUAUAGUGUCAAUUAAAGUAUAAACCUCUAAUCUACUCAUAUCAACAUUUGAUACAAUAUAGCAACUGAAGAUGAUUUAAUAACUAAACUUUGGUUAGUGAGGAUAGCAGAAAGUGAUAUUUAAUUUUACUACAGGGCAUGACAAUACACGCUAACACAUUGUAAAAGUCAUGCUUAAAGCACUAAUUUUCAAAUAUGAAUUUCAGUUUCUCUACUGUAGUGAAAGAAAACAGCAAAAUGUCUGCAAGUACCAAGACUGAGAAAAAUUGCUUUAGACCAAAUAAAUGCAAGUAGAUUACCAGAAAACACUACUUCACAGAAAUUAACAAAGAUUCCCAUGAAAGAAGUAGGAGAAACUUCAGAAAUAUAUAAGAUAUCAAUUACAGUAUGAUGAUUUAGCCUGUCACAGUCUAUGCAGUUUUUAAAAGAGAAAAAUCUGAAGCAGAACUCCUUUUUUUUUUUUAUUUCUGCAUACAUUAUGACAAAACAGAACCAAGCUGAACAUAAUUAAAGUAUCAUAUUUAUCUCCAGGUCCUGGUAACUUCUGCAAACCAAACCAUUUGUACAUUCCUCUUGUAAUAUAUUUUUGUCACAAGAACCUUACAAUAAAAAUACAUCCUUA